GGGGGCGAAUAGGUUUCGACGGGGAUAGAGAAGCUUAGGUUGCAUACCGAGGUUCCACGUGCUCGUAAAACAGGUGGGAUAAAGACAAACGCAGACGAUUAUGCGUACGCCCUAGCCGCAUAGACGGCUAGCGUCCUCUC
rnacentral:tmRNA from 1 species